GGCCCUGUGGUGAAAUUCAUGGUGGGUUGCAAGCCCAUUGAUGUGCGUUAGUACGUGCCAGGGUCU
rnacentral:tRNA from 1 species